rnacentral:rRNA from 1 species
GACGAACGCUGGCGGCGUGCUUAACACAUGCAAGUCGAACGGAAAGGCCCUGCUUUUGUGGGGUGCUCGAGUGGCGAACGGGUGAGUAACACGUGAGUAACCUGCCCUUGACUUUGGGAUAACUUCAGGAAACUGGGGCUAAUACCGGAUAGGAGCUCCUGCUGCAUGGUGGGGGUUGGAAAGUUUCGGCGGUUGGGGAUGGACUCGCGGCUUAUCAGCUUGUUGGUGGGGUAGUGGCUUACCAAGGCUUUGACGGGUAGCCGGCCUGAGAGGGUGACCGGCCACAUUGGGACUGAGAUACGGCCCAGACUCCUACGGGAGGCAGCAGUGGGGAAUAUUGCACAAUGGGCGGAAGCCUGAGGCAGCAACGCCGCGUGCGGGAUGACGGCCUGCGGGUUGUAAACCGCUUUCGCCUGUGACGAAGCGUGAGUGACGGUAAUGGGUAAAGAAGCACCGGCUAACUACGUG